rnacentral:rRNA from 1 species
GACGAACGCUGGCGGCGUGCUUAACACAUGCAAGUCGAACGGACAGACAGAGAGCUUGCUCUCUUGAAGUUAGUGGCGAACGGGUGAGUAACGCGUAAUCAACCUGCCCUUCAGAGGGGGAUAACAACGGGAAACCGUUGCUAAUACCGCGUACGAUUCAUGAACGGCAUCGUUUAUGAAUGAAAGGUGGCCUCUAUGUAUAAGCUAUCGCUGAAGGAGGGGAUUGCGUCUGAUUAGCUAGUUGGAGGGGUAACGGCCCACCAAGGCAAUGAUAAGAAGCCGGUCUGAGAGGAUGAACGGCCACAUUGGGACUGAGAAACGGCCCAAACUCCUACGGGAGGCAGCAGUGGGGAAUCUUCCGCAAUGGACGAAAGUCUGACGGAGCAACGCCGCGUGAGUGAUGAAGGUCUUCGGAUUGUAAAGCUCUGUUAAUCGGGACGAAAGAGUUCUGCGUGAAUAAUGCAGAAAAGUGACGGUACCGGAAUAGAAAGCCACGGCUAACUACGUGCCAGCCGCCGCGGUAA